rnacentral:rRNA from 1 species
UACGUAGGGGGCAAGCGUUAUCCGGAUUUACUGGGUGUAAAGGGAGCGUAGACGGUGCGCCAAGUCUGGAGUGAAAUGCCGCAGCUUAACUGCGGAACUGCUUUGGAAACUGUGCAGCUGGAGUGCAGGAGAGGUAAGCGGAAUUCCUAGUGUAGCGGUGAAAUGCGUAGAUAUUAGGAGGAACACCAGUGGCGAAGGCGGCUUACUGGACUGUAACUGACGUUGAGGCUCGAAAGCGUGGGGAGCAAACAGG